rnacentral:misc_RNA from 1 species
GUUUGGAACUACAAAAGAAAUGCUGUUCCAGUAGAUCAGAAAAGUUUGUUACUAGGCACAGGUGAGGAAAAAGAUAAUGAAGGAAAUGAAAGUGAUGAUGAUGAAGAAGGGGUUCAUGCAGCAGAAAUUUAAGCAAGAUUAACACUUUUGAAACUCUUGCUGGCACUACCUUUUCUGAAAGAAAAGCAAACUUUUUAUGGUGCUUAACGUACUUCUGUUACCAAGAAGGGUGUAGCAGCU